GGCCCAUGGAAAUGAAGUAGCUGGCCCAAGAUCCCGGGGGCAUAACUGCUGGCAGCACCGACGAACCCCCAAUGCUGACCAAGGAGGAGCCUGUUCCAGAACUGCUGGAAGCUGAGGCCCCCGAAGCUUACCCUGUCUUUGAGCCAGUGCCACCUGUCCCUGAGGCAGCCCAGGGUGACACAGAGGACUCGGAGGGCGCCCCCCCACUCAAGCGCAUCUGCCCAAAUGCCCCUGACCCCUGAGAAGCCGGCCUGCCUGUCCUGUUG
rnacentral:lncRNA from 1 species